ensembl:lncRNA
AUAUUAUAGACAAUGACGUGGAUGGAGAGACUGUUGACAUCGGAAUGACUGAGUCUAUGAUUUCAUUCCUCUUUGAGGGAUCAUUUAAAAAAACAAGCAAAAUUCCAUGGAUUUGUUCAGCAGAUGAAGGAGAUAGUGACAUUAACUCUUGAACCUGUGCCUGAAAGCCAGUCAAGAGCUGGAGCAAGGUUACCACAGUGUAUGAAUUGACGACUAAGAUGAUCAAGUAAAGGUAAUAUCAGCCCGUCAACAGCUUUCCCUGAAUUUUUUGAAGUUCUGAAGUUCCCAUUUGAAGUUCAGGCCAAGUUGGACCGAAAAGAAUGCAGACUAACGUCAUCAGACCGAAACAAAAUUAUUAGAACGUUGUAUGAAAGCGUGGCUCAGUACAAAAUGUAUCUAACUACAGAAGAGUAUGUUCAAGUGGCUAAGGCCCUGACUCUGAGGUAUCCCUUUUUAAAAGACAAAGAGGGCAAUGGAUAUGGAAUUUAUUUUGUGAAACUACUUUUUUUUUUUUUUUUUUUUUUGAAUAGCACACUUGGCACGUCUCUGAAACGCAAGUUUAAAUUUGAGCGGACACCUUUGGCUGAUGUUGAAGAAGUGAAAAGACUUUGGUCAUUCAAAAAAAGUCUGCAACCUGAAGAAAGCAGUUGCAAAGAAAUUACAAGGCCUUUGGAGAAUAAUGCUGUUGGAGAGGAUGCUACAUCAAUAGAGGGACAUGUGAAAGUCCUGCAGGACCAAUAUAGAAGGACACAGUCAGAGACUCACAUUGUUGAAUAUCGAAUGAGGAGGAACUUUGCCUGGAGGCGGCAGGAGAUUACUAGUGGUAUGACUGUUGAAGAUGUCAACAAAUAUCCAUCAGGGCCUUAUCAAGAAAUUGGUUUCCUGUAUAAAUGUGUUCAACUGAGCCGCCACUUUCGAGAACAUUUUGGACACAUUACAUCCAGCGUGCUACGGCUUGCUCAAGGGAAAUCCCCUUUAGCAAAGCUGCACAAAGAAGCUAGAGAAGAAUCUCUCAUUGAAGACCAUCUUGUGACUCCUAAACUUUAUUUAGCACUUUAUUAAGCCUAUCAAAUUCUUGCCUUUGAUAGAGUUUUACAUAUUUGUUUGUGUAUCACAUUUUAUGUUCCAGGAAUUGAUUUUAAAGCAGCACUUCUCGUGUUGCCAGCCUUGUUCAGAGAGAAACUUGAACAUUUCAUUGUGCUUGGAGAGGUGCGUAUAUAGUACUCUGUUUUAAAUUUCUGUGCAAUUCUUAAACUGUUUUUUGGCCAAAUGCAAAUGGGUGAAUAUUAAUUAUCUUAGUCUUUAUGCAUGUCAAUUUUCUCUCCAUCAGUUUAGUCAACUGCUGAGAAAAUUUUACUGAUACAGAAUCUGUUUUUUGCUUUGUCAUUUAGAGUGAACCAUCUUCACCAUAUCAUACUGUUCAAGUAGAGGAGACCACUGACUGGAAAACUGUGUUUACAAGAAGAGUCACUGCAGUCAUCAGAGUUGAUGGGAUCGAGAUAGACGAACGGUGUGGAUGAAGGGGCUCUUGCAGCAUUUUGUGCUUAUUUCGUCUUCAAUUUGACAUAUCCAUCCCAUUUGAAGAACACCCUGGUGUUUCUUCAGUGGUAUGUUUUGAGAGUUACUGUGGAUGGUGACAAGCCUCUACCUACCCCAGUUACCAGAAUAAUCAACCUUCUUAACUCAACAUUCUUAACAUAGACACAGACUGGUUAUUGUGUGGCAAGCUUUUAAUUCCUGGGGUUUUUUUGUCGUCAUUUUUACUCAUACUGUGUGAAAUGAGAAUGAAUGGACUGUCCUCUUGCCAGGUGAAGAGGUUGAUUACCAGGCAUUAGAUACCUACAAUGUUGAUGACAAGUUAUUUAUUAGCACUAGAUAUUCUUGCUGAAGACAAACUGCUGCAAACUUCAAAAUGUGCAGUACUUGAUGUAGCCUGUGUAAUAAGGCUGCUUUACUUGUUUGAGUUUUUCAUUGAAGAGCUAGUUUUUUCUUGACACGCUGUUGUGAGAUGUAAUGAAAUCUUUUUAAAAGAACAUUUCUAAAUAAAAUUGUGUAUUUGUCAGCCA